rnacentral:rRNA from 1 species
GACGGACGCUGGCGGCGUGCUUAACACAUGCAAGUCGAACGGAAAGGCCCCCUUGUGGGGUACUCGAGUGGCGAACGGGUGAGUAACACGUGAGUAACCUACCCUUGACUUUGGGAUAACUUCAGGAAACUGGGGCUAAUACCGGAUAGGAGCUCCUGCUGCAUGGUGGGGGUUGGAAAGUUUCGGCGGUUGGGGAUGGACUCGCGGCUUAUCAGCUUGUUGGUGGGGUAGUGGCUCACCAAGGCUUUGACGGGUAGCCGGCCUGAGAGGGUGACCGGCCACAUUGGGACUGAGAUACGGCCCAGACUCCUACGGGAGGCAGCAGUGGGGAAUAUUGCACAAUGGGCGGAAGCCUGAUGCAGCAACGCCGCGUGCGGGAUGACGGCCUUCGGGUUGUAAACCGCUUUCGCCUGUGACGAAGCGUGAGUGACGGUAGUGGGUAAAGAAGCACCGGCUAACUACGUG